rnacentral:rRNA from 1 species
CCUACGGGUGGCAGCAGUGGGGAAUAUUGCACAAUGGGGGAAACUCUGAUGCAGCGACGCCGCGUGAGUGAAGAAGUAAUUCGUUAUGUAAAGCUCUAUCAGCAGGGAAGAAAAUGACGGUACCUGAAAAAGAAGCUCCGGCUAAAUACGUGCCAGCAGCCGCGGUAAUACGUAGGGGGCAAGCGUUAUCCGGAUUUACUGGGUGUAAAGGGAGAGUAGGUGGCAGCACAAGUCCGAAGUGAAAAGCCAAAGCUCAACUAUGGGAAUGCUUUAGAAACUGUGCAGCUAGAGUGCAGGAGAGGCAAGUGGAAUUCCUAGUGUAGCGGUGAAAUGCGUAGAUAUUAGGAGGAACACCAGUGGCGAAGGCGGCUUGCUGGACUGUAACUGACAUUGAGGCUCGAAAGCGUGGGGAGCAAACAGGAUUAGAUACCCGAGUAGUC